rnacentral:rRNA from 1 species
GAUGAACGCUGGCGGCGUGCCUAAUACAUGCAAGUCGAGCGAACAGACGAGGAGCUUGCUCCUCUGACGUUAGCGGCGGACGGGUGAGUAACACGUGGAUAACCUACCUAUAAGACUGGGAUAACUUCGGGAAACCGGAGCUAAUACCGGAUAAUAUAUUGAACCGCAUGGUUCAAUAGUGAAAGACGGUUUUGCUGUCACUGAUAGAUGGAUCCGCGCCGCAUUAGCUAGUUGGUAAGGUAACGGCUUACCAAGGCAACGAUGCGUAGCCGACCUGAGAGGGUGAUCGGCCACACUGGAACUGAGCCCCGGUCCAGACUCCUACGGGAGGCAGCAGUGGGGAAUCUUCCGCAAUGGGCGAAAUCCUGACGGAGCAACGCCGCGUGAGUGAUGAAGGUCUUCGGAUCGUAAAACUCUGUUAUUAGUGAAGAACAAAUGUGUAAGUAACUAUGCACGUCUUGACGGUACCUAAUCAGAAAGCCACGGCUAACUACGUG